CCUUCUCGCAGUCCUUUCAGCAAUGAAAGUUCCUUUAUUUGUCCAGCACGAAAGGGCCAAAGAGACAGGUUUAUCCUCCCACCCAACGGUCCUUUUCUGAGACAGUUCAUCAGAAACAUGGAGAACAUAGAGCUUUGCUCGGGAAGGAAGGUUCAGAAAACAAAUCGUCUGUAAACUAUUGGGCAGGACUUGCCUCUUCCAAAGCUAAAAAUGGAAAACAGUUCUAAGGCUACGUUAAGCCCUUAGAAAAUGAAGGAGGUACUUCACCUUAUCAAUGAGGAUCAUCUUUGCGGGUGUACCUUGCCCCCCACCUUUGAAAAUGCUGUGGAUGGGGAGCCAAAGGAAAAAGUGCUUCUCCCUGGGCAAUACUGGAAGGCUUUGGUUGUGUUGGACUUGCUGUGGACGGGGUAACUCUCCUGUUAUUUCUGUAUAGACAAGACUGGUCGCUUUGCAUUUUCUGUUUCUCCGAGAAAGCAUGAACAUCCAGAGAUGCACAUGUCUGUCAGGAACUAGAAUGCUGAGGAAUGGAAACACAUGGAAACAUUCACCUAUUAUACAAGGAUAACUUUAGCUGUGACCUGGAAUAUAUUGUCUAAGAGCUCUGUAAAGGUGAAACUGCAAACUUUUUGUUCUAUCACAGUAUUGUGUAAUCUAGUUACUGUUAAAAAAUUCUUCAAAUUUCAUUGUUUAGUACUUAAACUUAUAGGGUUUUUUGAGGAGUAAGUGAAAAAAUAUAUGUAAAGUGCAUAGAACAAUGCAUCGUCUGGUUCUGAGCACUCAACAAAUGUUAGCUAUCAUUAUUUUUAAAAAAGGUUUCAUACAACAAUCAUGCUGUUUUCCAAGAGGAAUUGAAAUUUACUUGAAUUUUAAUGUUCUGGGUUCCCUGAUACCCUUUACCAUUGCUUGUUUUGAUUUAAAAGGGCCCCGAGUACUUGAUAACAUGCAAGGUUUAUCAUUAAGCAUCUUUAUUGCACUUGUGUUUGCAAAGAACGUUUUCGUUUUCCAUUAGCCUAUCCAAUCACAUUCCAAGAUAGAGGACUCUCUGUCAGAGAUAACGUCGACUAAUGAAGAACCUAAGUACUUGCAGAAAUGAGAUGACAACAAUGCAUUCUUCAUUCUAACCUCUCUCUAGGUGAAGAAAGAUGAUCUUCUUUGGAACUUGGGCUUGUACGUGUUUAUAGGACCCAGGCUGCUGGAUAUUUACACUGUUGUCUGUCAAAGCGUUCACUGGGAGAGGAGAUAAGCAAGUCAUCUGCCAAAAAUAUUGUGGCUUGCAAAUUAUGGGCGCACAUAAGAAAGGUCACUGCAUUACCCAGUCGUCUUAGCCCACUGCACGGUGACAUCUCAGGUAAGAAAGGGCUGGAGCAAAGUCUGAGUUGGAUCCUCCCGAUAACACCAAGAAGAGUGUCUCCCCUUUUCCCAAGAGCUAGGGAGUAUACUUAACCAGACAAGGAUAAAGUUCCAGAUGUGGAGGGUAACCAAAAUGGACCCAGCCACUGAUAGGAGCUGCUCAUUUCAUCUAAAGUAAUCUGUUGUUUUCUGUGCUCUGAAGGUGGUGACCUCAGUGUCCACAAUGGGACGUCCGUGAGUGUUUGUUAGGUUUGCGACCGAGUGCUCCAAGCCGGUGGAUAGUGUUUCUUCUUCUGGUAGGCCAGGGAAACAUUGAGAUUACUUCAGCAAAAAAUAACUUUUCGGCCAAUCUGUAUCAUCACUCAGAGAUGCAGCCGGUCAAGUUAACAAAGAAAACAGAUAUUUAGUCGUGAAGAAGCUUGGUUAAACUUUUGCUUAUCUUUUUAUAUCUUGGUACGGUCAUAUGGAAAUAGGUUAUUUCUUCACACUACUUGGCACCUGCUCUGCAAUUGUUUUUGUACUUAUUUGCCUGCUCUAUGAGAUCGUAAGCUUCAUGAGGACAGUUUUUUCUCAUCAUUAUAUCCUCAAUACAAUAAAUUUUUUUUGAAGAAAUGAAUAAAGAAGGUCAAUGCGCAACUGGUCUAGUGAAUUCUUACCAGGUUAGUAAAAUGUAGGUUGAAUUGCUUGGGAGUUUUUUUUUUUUUUUAAGAUUUUAUUUAU